rnacentral:rRNA from 1 species
GACGAACGCUGGCGGCGUGCUUAACACAUGCAAGUGGAGCGACGAACCGGGGCUUGCCCCGGGGCAGAGCCGCGAACGGGUGAGUAACACGUGGGUAACCCACCCCGAUGACCGGGACAACCCGAGGAAACUCGGGCUAAUACCGGAUGUGCUCCUUGACCUCGAGGUCAAGGCGUAAAGAUAGCUUCGGCCUUCGCAUCGGGACGGGCCCGCGGCCCAUUAGCUUGUUGGUGGGGUAACGGCCCACCAAGGCGACGACGGGAGCUGGUCUGAGAGGAUGAUCAGCCACAUUGGGACUGAGACACGGCCCAGACUCCUACGGGAGGCAGCAGUGGGGAAUAUUGCGCAAUGGCCGCAAGGCUGACGCAGCGACGCCGCGUGUGGGAUGACGGUCUUCGG